ensembl:misc_RNA 7SK 7SK RNA
AGAUAUGAGGGUGAUGUGGCUGCGAUGUCUGUCACCCCAAUGAUUGCCAGGGUUGAUUCGGCUGAUCUGCCUGGCUAGGCAGGUGUCUUCUUCCUCCCUCACUGCCCCAUGUGCUUCCCUCCUGAAACUUUGUCCUUGGUCGAAGAGGGCACCUUCCCCGAAUAAAGAAGGACCAGUCUUUGGUCAAGCAUAGAACCUCCACACAAGUUUUCAAAGUUGAACAUUCCCAAUUGUCUCCUUCCCAUUUAGAGCACUCUUGUCUAAAAUACUGCCUAUAUAGUACAUUAUUUUUUGAGACAGGUUCUCACUAUAUACCCUG